rnacentral:snRNA from 1 species
AUUUGCAGACUGCAACACCUGCCACUCUAUUGAUAGCCAGGGUUGAUUCUCUAGAUCUUCCUGGUUAGGCAGGUGUUCCCUUUCUCUCUCAUUGUUCCAUGUGGUUUCUGAAGCAGCAGCUGCUACAAGGAAAAUAACCUUCACCAAAUUGGGGAAACCAGUCUUUGGUCCAUGGUAUAAAAGUAGAAAGGAGAUGUGCUAUCUUGCUAAACCUCCAAACAAGCUCUCAAAUAGAAUAUUUUAAAUACCUUUAAAUAUAUAAAACAAAGCAAAAUAUUUUGUGUAACAGACUGAUCU